rnacentral:lncRNA from 1 species
UUCAAAGGUCUGAGCUUUAGAAUGAAUCAGAGUAAACAACUGCCCUGCAGUAAUAAAAUGCCUACACCUAUUUGCUGAAUGAAUCCUUCUUGGAAGGAGACAGUUCUGAAUGGAAUGGCUCUGUACUUCGAAAUCUAAUAAUUAAGCACUUUUUCACCAGUGGAUCAAGACCCAUGGUUAUAGGUUACUGAUAGCUCCAAAGACUGGCCUAGAAACUGGCAAGCACUUUACAAGUUACUGGCAACAGAAAAAUCUAAAAAAUGGCAUCAGAUUUUCAAAGUAGAAGGGACAUGUCUUGGAUGUGAAAGAUAAAAGGUAUAAUAUGGAUGGAAAAUAUUUAUAUAAAGUCUUCAGUAUUUGACAAUUGUCCUUAGGAGCUCCUAAAAUUUCAAAGUAAGGUGCAAAUUAUAUGUAAUUGAAGGG